rnacentral:rRNA from 1 species
AUGUGCACCAGAGGCCACUGGAGGCCGUCGGAGGACGAGAGGCUCAAGGAGCUCGUCGCGCGGUACGGGCCGCACAACUGGAACGCCAUCGCCGAGAAGCUCCAGGGCCGAUCAGGGAAGAGCUGCAGGCUGAGGUGGUUCAACCAGCUGGACCCGAGGAUCAACCGGAGCCCCUUCUCGGAGGAGGAGGAGGAGCUGCUCCUGGCCUCGCACCGCGUCCAUGGCAACCGGUGGGCCGUCAUCGCGAGGCUCUUCCCGGGCCGCACCGACAACGCCGUCAAGAACCACUGGCAUGUGAUCAUGGCGCGCCGGUGCAGGGAGCGGAUGAGGCUGUCGUCCAACAGACGUGCCACGCCCGCCGCCGCCUCCACCACCACCGCCGGUGCCGAGAAAGACGAGAGCCCUAAGAACACCACGGGCGGCGAGAAGCCGAGACUUCCGGAGACGAAUACCAUGGCCGCCUUGCUCCAUAAGUACCGCAGAGAAUUUGCUGCCCCCUUCGCGAUCAGCCAUCACAGUAGCAAGGAGGGUUACUGCUCAUCCACGAAUGAAGGUGAAAUGAUUGAUCCAUUGCAUGCAUGCAGGGUUCUAGUAUACAGAGCGUUCUCCCAUCAGUUUAGCUUGUAUGUCUGGAAUGAGUCAAUUAGGGUUUGUUUUGCAGAUACGAAUAGAUCGGUGGAGUUCUACGAUUUCCUCCAGGUGAACGUGAGCUCGAGCGACACCAAGUGCGGCUCGAGCAUCGAGGAGAACCGGGACGACGACGACGAUCAGCAAGCCGAAGGGCAGGUGUCGCUCAUAGAUUUCAUGGAGGUUGGGACUUCUCGUCAGUGA